rnacentral:rRNA from 1 species
UGAACAGCCAUCUGUAUCCAGAGUACCGCCGGACACGUGAAACCCGGUGGGAAUAUGGGGGGACCAUCCUCCAAGCCUAAAUACUACUCGGUGACCGAUAGUGAAGAAGUACUGUGAAGGAAAGGUGAAAAGUACCCCUGACGGGGAGUGAAAAAGAACCUGAAACCUUGUGUUUACAAGCACCGAAAGCUCAUCAAAGAGCGAUCGGGUACCUUUUGUAGAAUGGUCCGGCGAGUGAAUGUAACCGGCGAGGUUAAGCACUUAAGGUGUGAAGCCGCAGCGAGAGCAAGUCUGAAUAGGGCGUAUGAAGUCGGUUGUAUUCGACCCGAAACCGGGUGACCUACCCAUGGUCAGGUUGAAGUAAAGGUAAAACUUUAUGGAGGACCGAACCGACUCCCGUUGAAAUGGUAGCGGAUGAACUGUGGGUAGCGGAGAAAUUCCAAUCGAACCCGGAGAUAGCUGGUUCUCUCCGAAAUAGCUUUAGGGCUAGCCUUGAAAUAGAUUACCGGAGGUAAAGCACUGAAUUGGCUAGGGGCCGAGAGGUUACUGAACCUUAUCAAACUAAGAAUGCCGGAUAAUCGUUUUUCAGGAGUCAGACAGUGGGAGAUAAGUUUCAUUGUCAAAAGGGAAACAGCCCAGACCCACAGCUAAGGUCCCCAAGUAUAGUUAAGUGGAAAAGGAUGUGGAAUUGCACAGACAACCAGGAUGUUGGCUUAGAAGCAGCCACUCAUUAAAAGAGUGCGUAAUAGCUCACUGGUCGAGUGACUCUGCGCCGAAAAUUUAACGGGGCUAAACUAUACACCGAAGCUUGGGAUACAUCUAAUGUAUGGUAGGAGAGCGUUCUGUAUGGGGAGAAGUCGUAGCGAAAGCGGCGGUGGACUAUACAGAAGUGAGAAUGCCGGAAUAAGUAGCGAGAAUUAAGUGAGAAUCUUAAUGGCCGAAAGUCUAAGGUUUUUGGAGGAAGGUUCGUCCGCUCCAAGUAAGUCGGGAGCUAAGGUCAGGCCGAAAGGCGUAGCCGAUGCACAUACGGUUGAUAUUCCGUAACCAUCUGUAAUUUAAGCAAAGGGACACUUCAAAAGGGUGUGACCCGGGCGUUGGUUGACCCGGGCGUAAGGGACCGAAAUUAGAGUAGGGAAGCACACUUAGCUGAAGGCGAGAAAAGCUUUGCGUAUAGAAACAGAUGCCCGUACCGCAAACCGACACAGGUGGACAGGAAGAGAAUUCUAAGGCCAGCGGGAGAAGGGUAGUUAAGGAACUCGGCAAAUUGACUCCGUAACUUCGGAAUAAGGAGUGCUCGAAAGAGCCGCAGAGAAUAGGCCCAGGCGACUGUUUAGCAAAAACACAGGUCUCUGCCAAAUCGAAAGAUGAAGUAUAGGGGCUGACACCUGCCCGGUGCCGGAAGGUUAAGAGGAGGAGUGAGAGCUCCGAAUUGAAGCCCCGGUAAACGGCGGCCGUAACUAUAACGGUCCUAAGGUAGCGAAAUUCCUUGUCGGGUAAGUUCCGACCCGCACGAAUGGUGUAACGAUCUGGGCACUGUCUCAACUACCCACCCGGCGAAAUUGUAGUACCGGUGAAGAUGCCGGUUACCUGCGGCAAGACGGAAAGACCCCAUGGAGCUUUACUGUAGCCUGAUAUUGGGUUUCGGAAAUCUAUGUACAGGAUAGGCGGGAGACUGGGAAACAUGAGCGUCAGCUUGUGUGGAGUCGAUGUUGGGAUACCGCCCUUAGGUUUCUGGAAUUCUAACCUGCGGCCGUGAAUCCGGUCGGGGGACAUUGUCAGGUGGGCAGUUUGACUGGGGCGGUCGCCUCCGAAAAGGUAACGGAGGCGCUCAAAGGUUAGCUCAGCACGGACGGAAACCGUGCCUCUGAGUGUAAACGCAAAAGCUAGCCUAACUGCGAGGGUGACGGCCCGAGCAGUAACGAAAGUUGGAGUUAGUGAUCCGGCGGUAUGUGAAUGGAAAUGC